rnacentral:rRNA from 1 species
AUUGAACGCUGGCGGCAUGCUUUACACAUGCAAGUCGAACGGUAACAGGCCGCAAGGUGCUGACGAGUGGCGAACGGGUGAGUAAUGCAUCGGAACGUGCCCAGUCGUGGGGGAUAACGCAGCGAAAGCUGCGCUAAUACCGCAUACGAUCUAUGGAUGAAAGCGGGGGACCGUAAGGCCUCGCGCGAUUGGAGCGGCCGAUGUCAGAUUAGGUAGUUGGUGGGGUAAAGGCUCACCAAGCCAACGAUCUGUAGCUGGUCUGAGAGGACGACCAGCCACACUAGACCUGAGACACGGCCCAGACUCCUACGGGAGGCAGCAGUGGGGAAUUUUGGACAAUGGGCGCAAGCCUGAUCCAGCAAUGCCGCGUGCAGGAAGAAGGCCUUCGGGUUGUAAACUGCUCUUGUACGGAACGAAAAGGCUCUGGUUAAUACCUGGGGCUCAUGACGGUACCGUAAGAAUAAGCACCGGCUAACUACGUGCCAGCAGCCGCCGUAA